GUGGCAAGUUGACAUUCGUCAACGGGAAUACACAGGUUGAGGUAUUCCACAUCUGAAAAUCCCUAUUUUAUUGUCUAGAGUUUUGUAAUUAUUAAAAUAAAAAACC